AAGGGCACCACAAGAACGCGUGGAGCAUGUGGCUUAAUUUGACUCAACGCGGGAAAUCUUACCGGGUCCGGACACACUGAGGAUUGACAGGCAAUAUUAAUUUCUGCAGCUUCGGCUAAAGUUAUUAUGUUAAAUAUGCUAGUCCUUUCAUGAUUAUGUGAUAGGUGGUGCAUGGCCGUUCUUAGUUCGUGGAGUGAUCUGUCUGCUUAAUUGCGUUUCACUAAGGGCCUAUAAAUUACGUGUGUUGCGGUACUUUGACCCCUCUUUUUUCACGAGAAGAGCGCGUGUCUUAGUUUGCUUAGCUCACACAAUUAGGUCCUGAAAGCAACGAACGUGACCGCAACCUCUUGUUGCCUUUAUACCAAACAUGGAUAUUCUCUUCGGAGGGUUUCAUGAAAAAAGGCUUUUUAAACUAGAGGGACCGCUGUUACUUUCUUAAACCAGAGGAAGGUUGCGGCAAUAACAGGUCUGUGAUGCCCUUAGAUGUUCCGGGCUGCACACGUGCUACAAUGAUUAUUGCAGUGAGCAUCUCAUUUUUUACACACCGCAUACGCGAGUCCAUUUAUUCACUCUCGGGUGCUUUAAAUGUGCAUCUCUGCGAGCGGUAAAGCCUGCUUCGAAAGUAAGUGGGUAAUCAAUUAGAAGUAAUGAUUUCCUUUUUUUCUAGCACACAUAUAUACGGCGUUUAUACCCGGGCUGCCUUGUUGUAGCUUUUGUGCGUAUAGAUGUUUUUUCCGUAUGUGCGAUUGUCAAUUCAUGGUGGGGACAGACCAUUGUUAAUUGUUGGUCUCGGUCUUAACUAGGAAUGCCUUGUACGGGUCUUUGGUUCAACAAACCACCCGGAAUACGUCCCUGCCCUUUGUACACACCGCCCGUCGCUCUUACCGAUGGACUUCUCUGUGAGUUUGAGGGACUGGGAACGCAGGUUUUUUAUUAAAUCUGCACACCUAUGGAAACUUAAACGAACAGUGUGGUCUAAAGGAAAGAGAAGUCGAACAAGGCA
rnacentral:rRNA from 2 species